rnacentral:rRNA from 1 species
CAAUAGCGUAUAUUAAAGCUGUUGCGGUUAAAAAGCUCGUAGUUGGAUUUCUGUCAAGGACAACUGGUCCGCCCUCCGGGUGAGCACAUAGUUUGGUCUUGGCAUCUUGUUCAAAACUGUUACUGCGCUUGGUUGUGUGGUGCAGUUUUGGGCACUUUCACUUUGAGGAAAUUGGAGUGUUUCAAGCAGGCACAUGCCUUUGGACACAGUAGCAUGGAAUAAUUAGAUUGGGCUUUUGCUCCAACUUGUCGGUUCCUGGAGCUGAGGUGAGAAUCAAUGGGGAUUGUUGGGGGCAUCUGAAUUUAGCCGUCAGAGGUGAAAUUCUUGGAUCUGCUAAAGACGGACAACUGCGAAGGCGUUUGCCCAGGAUGUUUUCAUUGA